AAAAACCUCUGCUCAACCGGAGAAUUGCAUCAGAAACUGUUGAACUUGAGUGCAGAAGAGGAGAGUGGAACUCCAUGUGUAGCGGUGGAGUGCGUAGAUAUAUGGAAGAACACCAGUGGCGAAGGCGGCUCUCUGGUCUGCAACUGACGCUGAGGCUCGAAAGCAUGGGUAGCGAACA
rnacentral:rRNA from 1 species